GACGAACGCUGGCGGCGUGCUUAACACAUGCAAGUCGAGCGGUAAGGCCCUUUCGGGGGUACACGAGCGGCGAACGGGUGAGUAACACGUGGGUGACCUGCCCUCAGCUCUGGGAUAAGCCUGGGAAACCGGGUCUAAUACCGGAUAUGAGUCCAUGACGCAUGUUGUGGGGUGGAAAGCCUUGUGCGGCUGAGGAUGGGCCCGCGGCCUAUCAGCUUGUUGGUGGGGUGAUGGCCUACCAAGGCGACGACGGGUAGCCGGCCUGAGAGGGCGACCGGCCACACUGGGACUGAGACACGGCCCAGACUCCUACGGGAGGCAGCAGUGGGGAAUCUUGCGCAAUGGGCGAAAGCCUGACGCAGCGACGCCGCGUGA
rnacentral:rRNA from 1 species